CACAGAGAGAUCAACAGAGGGUGUUGUGAACGGGAUCACAGGCCUACAGGAAGGGGAGAACAUUAGGAAAUAGAAUGAACCUCUUAGCAUCUUUUAAAGGAAUUCAGAAUACCAUUCCAUCAGACAUCAUAGAUCAUUCCAUCAGACAUCAUAGAUCAUUCCAUCAGACAUCAUAGAUCAUUCCAUAAUGCCAGCCUUGAGAGGAUGGAGAACUGAUAUCUGUCACAAAUGAGAGAUUGAGGUUUGGGGAGGACACUAACUACAUUACACUGUAUUCGCCAUGUGCUAGUGAAUUUUGCUCAGAGUUUCUAGACCUGGCAUCAAGACAGUCCUGCUCAGCAAAGCACUGCGCACCCGCUCGUCUCGCAAACCCUGGAUGUUUUCAUGGGCAAUGGAUUGACGUAUCGCCAUUGACACACGUCGCGUUAGCAGCAUGCUUGACUCAGCCUCAAGGCCCUCCAGGCGGCAGAGGGUCACAGAUGACCACAGCCUUGCCUGCUAAGCCACGCCAGUGCCCUCUGGACAGAGGUGAUAUUAUCUGUGGGUCUAGAUUCCAGGGACCUAUAAAGUGAAGUAAAUAUGAAC
ensembl:lncRNA